UAUUAAAAUCAUUAAAAUCGUAGACAAAACAGAGUUGACGAUUAGCGGACGAUAACGUGCUUAGCGUAUGGAAAAUGCCAAAUGUGAAAUGAAAUCGUUAUGUAAAUGUAAUUGUAAUAUUAUGUUCUUAUGUAGUUUUGUCUGCAGUCUGCAGGAUGGGUCUUUGUGGCGGAGCGGUGGGAAUGUAACGUAUCUGCUUGGAUAUCAUAAUGGAAAUACCCCAAUAAUAUACAAAAACAAUUUUAAUCAUAUAAUGUAUUUUUUGUACAUUUAAAUUGAAUAUUUGAUGAAAUGACUUUAUUGUUAUUAUUAUUUUUAUGAAAUGAUUUGUUUUUUCAAUCAUAGGCCAUAGCGGUUAAUUUUAGAACAAUAUUUAUAGUAAUUGAUUAAUGAAGUAUAAUUUGUUAUAAUUUAUUACAAUUUGUACAAAUAACAAACAUUUAGAUUGUUAAUUUAAUAAAUUAUUGAUGGAGUAUACAAUUAGUUCGUUAAUUGUAAAUUGUAUAACUUAAUUGUUAUUUCAACACUAUUCUUACAGAAUAAACAAAAUAGAUUUCUUGGGGUUAUAUGUACAGUUUUCGGAGUACCGAAUGAAAUCUUAUUAUAUCCAGUUUGCAGAAUAACUACCAGUUUCACGCCUUUGCUCGGCGUCCGCAGCGCCAGCAAUAUCGGGAGUUAAUUUCGGGAGUGACUACUGCCACGCUUCUUUUUCUGUCAACCGGAAAAGUCGUAACCCGUGGAUUUUUGACGUCUUGUCGACGGAAUCGACCGUCACGCCGGGCAUCUGACACCGUCGGAAUCCGUAAUGAAGUCGGUACACACAACCGAUUAUUCAUCGAUGAGAUUUCGGCGAUCCACCGCUAUUCUCGAGAGCUCCUGUGCCGGUGGGCCGUGGGCGGUGUUAUUGCCGACCACAUGGACGUCGAGUUUUCGCACUCCUCGGGCUAUCUGGAAUGAGGAGACAAAACAUUGCCGUAUUUCUGUGCCAAAUAUAUUACUGUUGUCUGUUUGUAUUUCCUUGUCAAUGGCCAUGAGUACUUCGGAUAUUUGUUUGGUCAAAUCUAAUGCGACCGUAUCUGUCACGAGCGUUCAACACAACAAGACAAAAUUAACCAAUAAGGAGAGUUGACUAUGCGGAUACAAAACUCGAAAGCGGGACAUAUGGUCACGUUAUCGAUGAACAGAUUAUGGACGGCCGAAAAAACACAGCUUCAAGUGUCAGUUUUAAAAGCAGUGGUGUUUACAAAAGUUAACUUUAAAAUGUCUUGUCCAGAAUUUUACUCAUUCCUGAAGUC